rnacentral:rRNA from 1 species
GAUGAACGCUGGCGGCGUGCUUAACACAUGCAAGUCGAACGAUGAAGCUCAGCUUGCUGGGUGGAUUAGUGGCGAACGGGUGAGUAACACGUGAGUAACCUGCCCUUAACUCUGGGAUAAGCCUGGGAAACUAGGUCUAAUACCGGAUAGGAGCGCCUACCGCAUGGUGGGUGUUGGAAAGAUUUAUCGGUUUUGGAUGGACUCGCGGCCUAUCAGCUUGUUGGUGAGGUAAUGGCUCACCAAGGCGACGACGGGUAGCCGGCCUGAGAGGGUGACCGGCCACACUGGGACUGAGACACGGCCCAGACUCAUACGGGAGGCAGCAGUGGGGAAUAUUGCACAAUGGGCGAAAGCCUGAUGCAGCGACGCCGCGUGAGGGAUGACGGCCUUCGGGUUGUAAACCUCUUUCAGUAGGGAAGAAGCGAAAGUGACGGUACCUGCAGAAGAAGCACCGGCUAACUACGUG